CACCGCGGUUAUACGAGAGGCCCAAGUUAACAGACGCCGGCGUAAAGCGUGGUUAAGGAAACCCAAAACUAAAGCCGAACACCUUCAAGGCAGUUAUACGCAUCCGAAGAUACGAAGCCCCACCACGAAAGUGGCUUUAAUAACCCCCGACCCCACGAAAGCUACGAUA
rnacentral:rRNA from 1 species